rnacentral:rRNA from 1 species
GACGAACGCUGGCGGCGUGCCUAAUACAUGCCAGUCGAGCGGACCAAACAGGAGCUUGCUCUUGUUUGGUUAGCGGCGGACGGGUGAGUAACACGUGGGUAACCUGCCCGUAAGACCGGGAUAACUCCGGGAAACCGGAGCUAAUACCGGAUAACACCGAAGACCGCAUGGUCUUUGGUUGAAAGGCGGCUUCGGCUGCCACUUACGGAUGGGCCCGCGGCGCAUUAGCUAGUUGGUGAGGUAACGGCUCACCAAGGCGACGAUGCGUAGCCGGCCUGAGAGGGUGGCCGGCCACACUGGGACUGAGACACGGCCCAGACUCCUACGGGAGGCAGCAGUAGGGAAUCUUCCGCAAUGGACGAAAGGCUGACGGAGCGACGCCGCGUGAGCGAAGAAGGUCUUCGGAUCGUAAAGCUCUGUUGUUAGGGAAGAAGAAGCGCCGUUCGAACAGGGCGGCGCGGUGACGGUACCUAACGAGAAAGCCCCGGCUAACUACGUG